GAGGAAUUUUGGGCAAUGGGGGCAACCCUGACCCAGCGACGCCGCGUGCAGGAUGAAGGCCCUUCGGGUUGUAAACUGCUUUCGGGUGAGAAGAAAAGCCGACUCGGUCGGCUGGGACUGUACCACCAGAAGAAGCACCGGCUAACUACGUGCCAGCAGCCGCGGUAAUACGUAGGGUGCAAGCGUUAUCCGGAAUCACUGGGUGUAAAGGGUGUGUAGGCGGAUUUGUGCGUCAGAGGUUAAAUAUCCAGGCUUAACUUGGAAAAUGCCUUUGAUACGGCAAGUCUUGAGUAUAAGAGAGGAAGAUGGAAUUCCUGGUGUAGAAGUGAAAUUCGUAGAUAUCAGGAGGAACACCGGUGGCGAAGGCGGUCUUCUGGCUUAUUACUGACGCUGAGGCACGAAAGCGUGGGGAUCAAAC
rnacentral:rRNA from 1 species